AGUAGGUUGAGUCAAAUUUUUCACAAGCAGCAGCACCACAGCAGAGAAGGAUCCUGGGUUCCUGAGACCAUUGAGGUGCCAUGCCAUUCUGAACUGCCUGCACAGACUUUUACGUGAAAAAGAAAUAAACUUCAAUCUUGGUUAAGCCACUGUUGUGGAAUUUUCUUUGACAUUUCUCAUCUCGUCCCCACUAUUUCAAGAUCCCAGGGACAGAGACUUGUAUGGCAAACAAGAUUUGAAUUCAGAAUUCAAGAAGCACUUCCCGACUUCAGCCAAGUAAGAAGGAUCCUCUUCUUCCUGUCUGUGGAAAUUUCUUGGAUUUGGAAGGACUUUAUCAUGAAGUUCUGUGAGGCAGGAGGACUGUAACACCAUUUGGAGCAGAAGCAAGUAUGCAUUUUGAUCUCGGCGGUGCUCUACUCCUUAGAGAACUGAGGGCGGGAUCUUCCCUACCUGUUUGGCUGCAGGGAGGGGCGAUUUUCUCAUUGGACCAAUGGGGACUUAGUCUCCACCUCCACGUCUUUCAGCUCUACUGCAGAUUAGUGCGAGGACGGCAAGUGAGAAUGGGUAAGAAGGUGCCAAAGUACUGUCAACCCAAUCAUUAUUCAGUAAGUCAGGCACAAUAUUAGACGCUAGGGAUUCAUUCAUUCAGUCAGUCUUCAAAUAUUAAGUGAAGGGCUGUUAUGCAUCAGGCAAAUUAAAUCUGACUUGCCCAAAGGGGUUAAUAGCUGAGGGAGCAGGGUCUGUCCAGAGCGUUUCAUACCAGACUCUGCAUACCUACUGCCCUAUCCCCAAAGAGGGCCUUCCCUGCCUUCUCGGAUUUCUUGAACCUUUCUCCUCUAUGAGCUGCUUACUCUGUGCUCACCCUCCAUCGCUGCCCCAAGAGCUUUAAACUCUUGUAUCAGGCACGUCCAACAUGCAAAUCACGUUCACCCUGGGCUCAGACACACUGAUCCCCUCCCCCGCCCUUCCCCACACCUAAUUCAGGCCCCAGUAGACUGAGAGCCCUGGGGCAAAGGAGCUGGGAAAAGCCUGAUGCUUAGAGUUUGGAUCAGCACCGGGAAGCAGGGUAGGGUCAAAGGCCAACUCCCUCUCUCUCCUGCAACUUCUGAAUGCUCAGUGCUGCCCUGUCCUUGGUGCUGGGGACACUCAUGAAUCAGCUCAAGUCCCUGCUGUUCCAGCUCCCAUUUCAGCAGGGGAGUUAAGAUAGGGUGCAGAAUGCAGCUCCAGAAGUUCAGCAGGGCAUGUAUGGUUCUGCAGCCUGGUCCCACUCCUUAAAGUAGGGAGUAGCCUUUUAAACUGAGCCCCAGCCUUGGCAGGGUUCCUUUACUCCAGAAUACUGUGCAUGCUAAUCACCCUGGAAUUUUGUUAAAUUGUGGAAACCGAUGAUUCAGUGGGUCUGAGUUAAGAUUCUGCAUUUCUACCAAGCUCUUAGGUACCUGGACCACAGUUUGAGUGGAAGGCUGUAUGGUACUUGUCUCAUUUCUCCGAGAACUGAUUGAUAAUGUCUCUUCCUCACUAAUUCAUAAGCUCAAAGCAUGGAUCUUGCCCAUUAGUUUAGUGAUUAUAUUCCCAGUGCUUGGCACAUUCUGUGAGUGCUUUUUGGAGGAGUAGUCGUUGCUCCCUUAUUUAUGGGAGCUAGGACUAAUCCCACACAGCAGACAAACCCACUGGUCAAAUAUACUCACCUGCAUGCCCCAUCUCUACCAG
ensembl:lncRNA